rnacentral:rRNA from 1 species
UGGGGAAUUUUGCACAAUGGGGGAAACCCUGAUGCAGCGACGCCGCGUGAUUUAGAAGGCCUUCGGGUUGUAAAAAUCUUUUCUAUGGGAAGAAAAUGACAGUACCAUAGGAAUAAGGACCGGCUAAUUACGUGCCAGCAGCCGCGGUAAUACGUAAGGUCCGAGCGUUGUCCGGAAUCAUUGGGCGUAAAGGGUACGUAGGCGGGUAAGCAAGUUAGAAGUGAAAUCCUAUAGCUCAACUAUAGUAAGCUUUUAAAACUGCUCAUCUUGAGGUAUGGAAGGGAAAGUGGAAUUCCUAGUGUAGCGGUGAAAUUCGCAGAUAUUAGGAGGAAUACCGGUGGCGAAGGCGACUUUCUGGCCAUAACCUGACGCUGAGGUACGAAAGCGUGGGGAGCAAACAGG